rnacentral:rRNA from 1 species
GACGAACGCUGGCGGCGUGCUUAACACAUGCAAGUCGAACGGAAAGGCCCUGCUUUUGUGGGGUGCUCGAGUGGCGAACGGGUGAGUAACACGUGAGUAACCUGCCCUUGACUUUGGGAUAACUUCAGGAAACUGGGGCUAAUACCGGAUAGGAGCUCCUGCUGCAUGGUGGGGGUUGGAAAGUUUCGGCGGUUGGGGAUGGACUCGCGGCUUAUCAGCUUGUUGGUGGGGUAGUGGCUUACCAAGGCUUUGACGGGUAGCCGGCCUGAGAGGGUGACCGGCCACAUUGGGACUGCGAUAGGGCCCAGACUCCUAUGGGAGGCAGAAGUGGGGAAUAUUGCACAAUGGGCGGAAGCGUGAUGCAGCAACGCCGCGUGCGGGAUGACGGCCUUCGGGUUGUAAACCGCUUUCGACUGUGACGAAGCGUGAGUGACGGUAAUGGGUAAAGAAGCACCGGCUAACUACGUG